AGUGAACGCUGGCGGUAGGCCUAACACAUGCAAGUCGAACGGCAGCACAGUAAGAGCUUGCUCUUACGGGUGGCGAGUGGCGGACGGGUGAGGAAUACAUCGGAAUCUACUUUUUCGUGGGGGAUAACGUAGGGAAACUUACGCUAAUACCGCAUACGACCUACGGGUGAAAGCAGGGGAUCUUCGGACCUUGCGCGAUUGAAUGAGCCGAUGUCGGAUUAGCUAGUUGGGGGGGUAAAGGCCCACCAAGGCGACGAUCCGUAGCUGGUCUGAGAGGAUGAUCGGCCACACUGGAACUGAGACACGGUCCAGACUCCUACGGGAGGCAGCAGUGGGGAAUAUUGGGCAAUGGGCGCAAGCCUGAUCCAGCCAUACCGCGUGGGUGAAGAAGGCCUUCGGGUUGUAAAGCCCUUUUGUUGGGAAAGAAAAGCAGCAGGUUAAUACCCCGCUGUUCUGACGGUACCCAAAGAAUAAGCACCGGCUAACUUCGUG
rnacentral:rRNA from 1 species